GGGCCCGCACAAGCGGUGGAGUAUGUGGUUUAAUUCGAUGCAACGCGAAGAACCUUACCAGGGUUUGACAUCCUGUGCCACUCCGAGAGAUCGGACGUUCCCUUCGGGGACGCAGUGACAGGUGCUGCAUGGCUGUCGUCAGCUCGUGUCGUGAGAUGUUCGGUUAAGUCCGGCAACGAGCGCAACCCACACCCUUAGUUGCCAGCAGUUCGGCUGGGCACUCUAAGGGAACUGCCCGUGAUAAGCGGGAGGAAGGUGUGGAUGACGUCAAGUCCUCAUGGCCCUUACGGGUUGGGCUACACACGUGCUACAAUGGCAGUGACAAUGGGUUAAUCCCAAAAAGCUGUCUCAGUUCGGAUUGGAGUCUGCAACUCGACUCCAUGAAGUAGGAAUCGCUAGUAAUCG
rnacentral:rRNA from 1 species